rnacentral:rRNA from 2 species
UUUAAUUGAAGAGUUUGAUCAUGGCUCAGAUUGAACGCUGGCGGCAGGCCUAACACAUGCAAGUCGAGCGGUAACAGGG